rnacentral:lncRNA from 1 species
AGCGGCGUGCUGAUUGGCCGGGUAUUUAAACGGGGCGCGCGGCGGGGACUGCCCCCGGUGGCAGCGGAGCGGUCUGGGUCUGAGGGGCGGCUGUCCUGUCCGUGACCGGCCGACCGUGAGCUUUGGGUCCCGGGAGGGGGGAGCUGGGGCGUGCUGCAGGCCGCGAAGGGACUGUGAGCGGCUGGGGAGCGGGGCUGGAGGAUGGAAAGAUGACCUGUGCUGGUCUUAUGAAUCCAAGUGAUGUGGCUCCCAGCUGCUACAAGUGAAAUUGGUCCUGCCUUUCUGCCAGUCCUAAGUCUCUCAGUAUUUCAUCUUGUAGUGAAGAGAACAACAGAAGAAAGGCAAUGAUAAUCUGCCACGAUUUAGGGUCGCUACUGCUUACAGCCUUGAUGAACAGGCUUUGUGCAGGAAACUUUGUCCUGUUUGGGAGACAACUUGGAACCUUGCCCAAGCCCACCCGGACAUCCCCCUGUGGUCACUUUGCAGUGGUAAAUCUCAACCUUUUCCCUUACUUUGUUUGCAUGUCCUGCUCUG